GGGAUAUUAGCUCAGGUGGUAGAGCACUUGACUUUUAAUCAAGUUGUCCGGGGUUCGAGUCCCCGAUGUCUCACGA
rnacentral:tRNA from 1 species